AAUGAACGCUGGCGGCGCGCCUAAUACAUGCAAGUCGAGCGAGAAGACGUAGCAAUACGUUUGUAAAGCGGCGAACGGGUGAGGAAUACAUGGGUAACCUACCCUCGAGUGGGGAAUAACUAGCCGAAAGGUUAGCUAAUACCGCGUACGCUUCUUGGACUUCGGUUCAGGGAGGAAAGCGAUGCCGAGGGUAUCGCGCUCUUGGAUGGGCUCAUGUCCUAUCAGCUUGNGGUGAGGUAACGGCUCACCAAGGCUUCGACGGGUAGCUGGUCCGAGAGGACGAUCAGCCACACUGGCACUGCGACACGGGCCAGACUCCUACGGGAGGCAGCAGUAAGGAAUAUUGCGCAAUGGGCGAAAGCCUGACGCAGCGACGCCGCGUGGGGGGAUGAAGGUCUUCGGAUUGUAAACCCCUUUCGGGA
rnacentral:rRNA from 1 species